rnacentral:rRNA from 1 species
UGCCAGCCGCCGCGGUAAUACGGAGGGUGCAAGCAUUAAUCGGAUUUAUUGGGCGUAAAGAGCGCGUAGGUGGGCUAGUAAGUCAGACGUGAAAGCCCGGAGCUCAACUCCGGAACUGCAUUUGAAACUACUAGCCUUGAGGAUAGGCGGAGAAGACGGAAUUCCACGUGUAGCGGUGAAAUGCGUAGAUAUGUGGAAGAACACCGGUGGCGAAGGCGGUCUUCUAGCUUACUCCUGACACUGAGGCGCGAAAGCAAGGGGAGCGAACAGGAUUAGAUA